rnacentral:rRNA from 1 species
GAUGAACGCUGGCGGCGUGCUUAACACAUGCAAGUCGAACGGAAAGGCUCCUGCUUGCAGGGGUACUCGAGUGGCGAACGGGUGAGUAACACGUGGGUGAUCUGCCCUGCACUUCGGGAUAAGCCUGGGAAACUGGGUCUAAUACCGGAUAGGACGAUGGUUUGGAUGCCAUUGUGGAAAGUUUUUCGGUGUGGGAUGAGCUCGCGGCCUAUCAGCUUGUUGGUGGGGUAAUGGCCUACCAAGGCGUCGACGGGUAGCCGGCCUGAGAGGGUGUACGGCCACAUUGGGACUGAGAUACGGCCCAGACUCCUACGGGAGGCAGCAGUGGGGAAUAUUGCACAAUGGGCGCAAGCCUGAUGCAGAGACGCCGCGUGGGGGAUGACGGCCUUCGGGUUGUAAACUCCUUUCGCUAGGGACGAAGCGUUUUGUGACGGUACCUGGAGAAGAAGCACCGGCUAACUACGUG